rnacentral:rRNA from 1 species
GACGAACGCUGGCGGCGUGCUUAACACAUGCAAGUCGAACGGAACGGCCCUGCUUUUGUGGGGUGCUCGAGUGGCGAACGGGUGAGUAACACGCGAGUAACCUGCCCUCGACUUUGGGAUAACUUCAGGAAACUGGGGUUAAUACCGGACAGGAGCUCCUGCUGCAUGGUGGGGGUUGGAAAGUUUCGGCGGUUGGGUAUGGACUCGCGGCUUGUCAGCUUGUCGGUGGGGUAGUGGCUUACCAAGGCUUUGACGGGUAGCCGGCCUGGAAGGGUGACCGGCCACAUUGGGACUGGGAUACGGCACAGACUCGUACGGGAGGCAGCGGAGGAGAAUGUGGCACAAUGGGCGGAAGCCUGAUGCAGCGACGCCGCGUGCGGGAUGACGGCCAUCUGGUUGUAAACCGCUUUCGCCUGGGAAGAGGCGUGAGUGACGGUAAUGGGUAAAGAAGCACCGGCUAACUACGUG